rnacentral:rRNA from 1 species
UACGAAGGGGGCUAGCGUUGCUCGGAAUUACUGGGCGUAAAGCGCACGUAGGCGGCUUGUUAAGUCAGGGGUGAAAUCCUGGAGCUCAACUCCAGAACUGCCUUCGAUACUGGCGAGCUCGAGUUCGGGAGAGGUGAGUGGAACUGCGAGUGUAGAGGUGAAAUUCGUAGAUAUUCGCAAGAACACCAGUGGCGAAGGCGGCUCACUGGCCCGAUACUGACGCUGAGGUGCGAAAGCGUGGGGAGCAAACAGG